rnacentral:rRNA from 1 species
GACGAACGCUGGCGGCGUGCUUAACACAUGCAAGUCGAACGAAGUGGCGAACGGGUGAGUAACGCGUAAUCAACCUGCCCUUCAGAGGGGGACAACAGUUGGAAACGACUGCUAAUACCGCAUACUGAAGGGGGGGAUUGCGUCUGAUUAGCUAGUUGGAGGGGUAACGGCCCACCAAGGCGAUGAUCAGUAGCCGGGCUUGGAGGAUGAACGGCCACAUUGGGAAUGGAAACCGGGCCAGACUCCUACGGGAGGCAGCAGUGGGGAAUCUUCCGAAAUGGACGAAAGUCUGGAGGAGCAACGCCGCGUGGGUGAUGACGGCCUUCGGGUUGUAAAGCUCUGUUAAUCGGGACGCGGUACCGGAAUAGAAAGCCACGGCUAACUACGUGCCAGCAGCCGCGGUAAUAC